CCGGAAACGUUUGGAGACAGGCGCCCCCUUGUGGUCGGUGUCCAGGUGGUCCAUGGCUGUCGUCAGCUCGUGUCGUGAGAUGUUGGGUUAAGUCCCGCAACGAGCGCAACCCUUGUCCCGUGUUGCCAGCAGGCCCUUGGGGUGAUGGGGACUCACGGGAGACCGCCGGGGUCAACUCGGAGGAAGGUGGGGACGACGUCAAGUCAUCAUGCCCCUUAUGUCUUGGGCUGCACACGUGCUACAAUGGCCGGUACAAUGAGCUGCGAUACCGCGAGGUGGAGCGAAUCUCAAAAAGCCGGUCUCAGUUCGGAUUGGGGUCUGCAACUCGACCCCAUGAAGUCGGAGUCGCUAGUAAUCGCAGAUCAGCAUUGCUGCGGUGAAUACGUUCCCGGGCCUUGUACACACCGCCCGUCACGUCACGAAAGUCGGUAACACCCGAAGCCGGUGGCCCAACCCCUUGUGGGAGGGAGCU
rnacentral:rRNA from 1 species